rnacentral:rRNA from 1 species
CAGUACAACUUCGGCCACGUGCCCCCGCAGCAGCAGCAACAGCCGCCGCCGCCGCCGCCCCAGAUGUAUUACCAGCCCCCACCGCCGCCGUAUGGCGGGAACAACAAUCAAGCGCCCCCUCCACCACCACCAAUGUCUCCUCCCCCUUCGGCACCGCCACCACCUCCUGCCCAGCCACCCCCACGGGUGGCUCCGCCGCCACCAAAGGAGCAGCAGGCCAAGGCGGCACUGCCAAGAGUGGAGAUGGAGGAGCAGCGGCGAGCAAGGAAGAAGCGCGAGUAUGAGAAGCAGAAGGUGGAAGACCGGAAGCAGCAGCAGAUGAUGCGCCAGUCGCAGGCCACCAUUCUGCAGAAGACACAGCAGGUGCGUGCCGCGCAACAGCAGCAGCAGCCACAGCCUCAGAGCCGGCACCUCCAGCCAUCAGGCGGGACUCGGGUGGCGACAACUGUGUCUCGCCCAGCCUCCGCACCAAACACUGAGAGGUUUGAGAAUCGGCUCAAGAAGCCGACAACGUUCCUCUGCAAGCACAGGUUUAGGAAUGAACUGCCAGACCCAAGUGCUCAAUUGAAAUGGCUGCCUCUGAAUAAGGACAAGGACCGAUAUACCAAGUACAGGAUCUCAUCAUUGGAGAAAAAUUAUCUGCCUAAAAUGAUUGUCCCUGAGGAUCUUGGGAUACCUCUUGACCUACUUGAUAUGACUGUAUACAACCCUCCCGCUGCUCAGCUGCCCCUGGCUCCAGAAGAUGAAGAGCUGCUGCGUGAUGAUGAAGUUCUCACCCCUGUUAAACCAGAAGGUAUAAGGAAAAAGGAGAGGCCAACCGACAAAGGCAUGUCUUGGCUGGUCAAAACACAGUACAUUUCUCCACUUAGUACUGAUGCAGCCAAAAUGUCGAUCACUGAAAAGCAAGCAAAAGAAAGGCGAGAAUCAAGGGAGGGUCGAGAUAAUGUCCUCGAAAAUCUUAAUGAUAGACAGAAGCGAAUAAAAGCCAUUGCAGAGUCCUUCAAAGCCGCUAAAUCGCGCCCUGUCCACCAGACUAAACGAGGGAUGGAACCAGAGUUUGUUCUCCCUUUGGUACCCGAUUUUGAUAGGUAUAAUGAUCCAUUUGUUAUGGUGAAUUUUGAUGGAGAUCCUACAGCUGAUUCAGAGCAGUACAACAAGCUAGAGAGACCUGUACGUGAUGAAUGUGAAUCCCAGGCUCUGAUGAAAAGUUUUCAAGUCAGUGGUUCAGACCCUGCAAAACAAGAGAAAUUUCUGGCAUAUAUGGCUCCAGCACCCCACGAGCUUGUCAAGGACUUGGAUGAUGAAAAUGAAGACUUCCAGUACUCCUGGAUUCGGGAAUAUCACUGGGAAGUAAGGGGGGAUGACAAACAAGAUCCAACGACUUACCUUGUCUCAUUUGAUGAUGAUGAUGCAAAAUAUUUGCCUCUUCCUACCAAGUUAGUAUUGCAGAAGAAGAAAGCUAAAGAGGGGAGAUCUGGGGAUGAAAUCGAGCAUUUUCCAGUGCCUUCUAGAAUUAUUGUGAGCAGGACAGCACAUGGUGAUCAGAUGGAGCACGGAGAAUCAUCCAGCAUGCAUGGGAAUUUAAAGCGACAAAGAUCUUCUGUUGAUGAUGAUCUUGAUGAACAUCCGAGGCAUUCUCGUGUAGAAGAUAUGGGGCAGUAUAGUGAAGAAGACUAUUCUGAUUGAUCAAUUAGAUAUGGAAGGAUCGUCAUUUUCUUGCACCAUCGAAUUUCAUGAGCACAUAUGAAUCUUUGAAGAUCUCAUAUGCAUUUGCUUUGGUACCUCCAUAAGUAGCAAUAGGGUGCAGGGUUGAUGAAAGAACAUGCUUGAGUACAUUCGGGCAAUAGCAGAUUUUGAAGUGCAGAGUGGGCAAAGCAAGGCAGAGUGUAACUGGACCUUAAGACUGGUCUCAGAAGUGAUGAUAGGAGGUCUCGUCAUCAUGUAAAAAAAGUCUCUGUGGUCUUGGGAGUGAUUCUCCACUGCUGUUUUGAUGAUAUAGGCAACUGUUAUUCCCAUUUGAUUGUGUAAGUACAACAAUUUAUUUAUGUGAGGAUACUAGACAGUUGUGCUAUCGUAACUGUUUCUUUUCUGGUGGAAAUGAUAAUCAACAUAGCGAAGGUCAUGUAUUUGUGCUACCAGGAAUGUUAAGGUGCACUUACUGAAGACCAAGAGUAGCAUUGCAAGAAGAGUAAACUGUGUUUUCAGUUUCUUUUUUGCAUGUUGUAACUGUGGUGUCCAUAGAAAAACUUGUUUUGGGGGUAUUUUUCUG